UACGGGGGGAGCAAGCGUUGUUCGGAUUUACUGGGCGUAAAGGGCGCGUAGGCGGUCAGCACAAGUCAGUUGUGAAAUCUCCGAGCUUAACUCGGAAAGGUCAACUGAAACUGUGCGACUAGAGUGCGGAAGGGGCAACUGGAAUUCUUGGUGUAGCGGUGAAAUGCGUAGAUAUCAAGAGGAACACCUGCGGCGAAGGCGGGUUGCUGGGCCGACACUGACGCUGAUGCGCGAAAGCCAGGGGAGCGAACAGG
rnacentral:rRNA from 1 species